GGAGUUCCGGGUGUAUUUACCUCGCACACUUUAUCCGCUGCUAGGCAACCGGCCUGCCAAGCUGCCAACCUUGCGCCUGCGUGGGGAGUCUGUCUUCCGCCCCUAGCUGGCGCCAUCAUGCUGCUGCCUGUGUUCACCCUGAAACUGCGCCACAAAAUCAGCCCCCGCAUGGUGGCCAUAGGGCGCUACGACGGGACUCACCCGUGCUUGGCGGCCGCCACCCAAGCGGGCAAGGUUCUCAGUGUUGGACAGUAUUGAGGACAGAUCAGGAGCUUAGGAAAAGAAGUCCCGGGAAGGAGGAGAGCUUGUCCAGGAUUAGCAGCGAUUGCUGCCGACUCCAGGGCCUCUGCUUGCCUCUUGGGAGUCUCUUCCACAUCGCGGGGAAGGAACAACAAUCCCAAUGUUAACUUCAGAUUGUAGUUUCGAUUCUUGAUCAUGUACAUUCCGAUCUCUUCAAUCUCUUGUAUUCUGUUUUCCUCAUAACUUAAGUAUUCAUUAAAUGGAUAUUACAAGC
rnacentral:lncRNA from 1 species